GAUAAGAACGUAGCGAAAUGCGAUACUUGGUGUGAAUUGCAGAAUCCCGUGAACCAUCGAGUCUUUGAACGCAAGUUGCGCCCGAAGCCAUCAGGUUGAGGGCACGUCUGCCUGGGCGUCACAUAUCGUUGCCCAAUGCCUAUUGCAGUGCAAUAGGAAUUUCUAGGGCGAAUAAUGGCUUCCCGUGAGCGUUGUUGCCUCGCGGUUGGUUGAAAAUCGAGUCCUUGGUAGGGUGUGCCAUGGUAGAUGGUGGUCGAGUUAGAACGAUACCGAUCAUGUGCAUGCUCCCCAAAAUAUGGCCUCUAUGACCCACACGCGUCUUUUGACGCUCAUGACGAGACCUCAGGUCAGGCGGGGCUACCCGCUGAAUUUAAGCAUAUCAAUAAGCGGAGGA
rnacentral:misc_RNA from 1 species